rnacentral:tRNA from 1 species
GUAGCUUAGUGUUUUAGAGCGUCAGACUCACAAAUUGAAGGUCAGGGGUUCGAUUCCCGAC